AAAGAUUUAUUAUAUUUAGUAUUUUUUAUUUUUAAUAAAAAGGUUUUUAUCUUCU
rnacentral:tRNA from 1 species